GCUGCGAUGGCCGAGUGGUUAAGGCGUUGGACUAGAAAUCCAAUGGGAUCUUCCCGCGUAGGUUCGAAUCCUACUCGUAGCG
rnacentral:tRNA from 1 species